AAAUUGAAGAGUUUGAUCAUGGCUCAGAUUGAACGCUGGCGGCAGGCCUAACACAUGCAAGUCGAACGGUAACAGGAAGCAGCUUGCUGCUUCGCUGACGAGUGGCGGACGGGUGAGUAAUGUCUGGGAAACUGCCUGAUGGAGGGGGAUAACUACUGGAAACGGUGGCUAAUACCGCAUAACGUCGCAAGACCAAAGAGGGGGACCUUCGGGCCUCUUGCCAUCAGAUGUGCCCAGAUGGGAUUAGCUAGUUGGUGAGGUAACGGCUCACCAAGGCGACGAUCCCUAGCUGGUCUGAGAGGAUGACCAGCCACACUGGAACUGAGACACGGUCCAGACUCCUACGGGAGGCAGCAGUGGGGAAUAUUGCACAAUGGGCGCAAGCCUGAUGCAGCCAUGCCGCGUGUAUGAAGAAGGCCUUCGGGUUGUAAAGUACUUUCAGCGGGGAGGAAGGUGUUGUGGUUAAUAACCGCAGCAAUUGACGUUACCCGCAGAAGAAGCACCGGC
rnacentral:rRNA from 1 species